GGCGAACGGGUGAGUAACACGUGGGUGAUCUGCCUCGCACUUCGGGAUAAGCCUGGGAAACUGGGUCUAAUACCGGAUAUGACCUUUCAGUGCAUGCUGUUGGGUGGAAAGAUUUAUCGGUGCGAGAUGGGCCCGCGGCCUAUCAGCUUGUUGGCGGGGUAACGGCCCACCAAGGCGACGACGGGUAGCCGACCUGAGAGGGUGACCGGCCACACUGGGACUGAGACGCCCAGACUCCUACGGGAGGCAGCAGUGGGGAAUAUUGCACAAUGGGCGGAAGCCUGAUGCAGCGACGCCGCGUGAGGGAUGACGGCCUUCGGGUUGUAAACCUCUUUCGACAGGGACGAAGCGCAAGUGACGGUACCUGUAGAAGAAGCACCGGCCAACUACGUGCCAGCAGCCGCGGUAAUACGUAGGGUGCGAGCGUUGUCCGGAAUUACUGGGCGUAAAGAGCUUGUAGGCGGUUUGUCGCGUCGUCCGUGAAAACUUGGGGCUCAAACCCCAAAGCUU
rnacentral:rRNA from 1 species